rnacentral:rRNA from 1 species
UGCGUAGGCGGAUUAAUAAGUCAGUGGUGAAAACCUGCAGCUUAACUGUAGAACUGCCAUUGAUACUGUUAGUCUUGAGUACGGUCAAGGUAGGCGGAAUGUGUAAUGUAGCGGUGAAAUGCUUAGAUAUUACACAGAACACCGAUUGCGAAGGCAGCUUACUGGGCCAUUACUGACGCUGAGGCACGAAAGCGUGGGUAGCGAACAGGAUUAGAUACCUGGUAGUCC